GCUUCUAUGAGCGAAUGAUAUCUGCAAAAUGAGAAUAGGAAAGUUAGAAGAAGGAGAAGAAGAAUAAAACUAGAAGAAGAAGAAGAAUCAAACUAGAACAAGAAGAAUAAAACUAGUAGAAGAAUAAAACUAGAAGAAGAAGAAGGAGAAAAAGAAGAAGAAGGAGGAGAAGAAGGAGAAAGAGAAGAAGGAGAAGAAGAAGGAGGAGGAGGAGGAGGAGGAGGAGAAGAAGAAGGAGAAGC
rnacentral:lncRNA from 1 species